rnacentral:tmRNA from 1 species
GGGGGCGAACUGGAUUCGACGGGGGUAUGGAAGUUCAAGUGGCGUGUCGGGGUCCUGUAACCCCGUAAAAAUGCAGGAAAAAAUAUAAACGCCGACUCUGAAUACGAGUACGCACUGGCUGCUUAAGCAGCCACGUCUGACCUGGGUUGCCUGUAACCCGGGAUCAGGCGCCAUUUAACAGGCUUGCUCCCCUUGGGCGCUUGUACUUUUGGGAGUGAAAUUUUACAAGCUAGCCUGAUUAGACCCGGCUUGGGUGAGGCUAAUCAAGCGAA